rnacentral:rRNA from 1 species
UAGGGAAUAUUGCACAAUGGGCGAAAGCCUGAUGCAGCAACGCCGCGUGCGCGAAGAAGGCCUUCGGGUUGUAAAGCGCUUUUCGGGGAGAUGAGGAAGGACAGUAUCCCCGGAAUAAGGCUCGGCUAACUACGUGCCAGCAGCCGCGGUAACACGUAGGAGCCAAGCGUUAUCCGAAUUCACUGGGCGUAAAGCGCGUGCAGGCGGCACGGCAAGUUGGAUGUGAAAGCUCCUGGCUCAACUGGGAGAGGACGUUCAAUACUGUCGAGCUAGAGGACGGCAGAGGGAGGUGGAAUUCCCGGUGUAGUGGUGAAAUGCGUAGAUAUCGGGAGGAACACCAGUGGCGAAGGCGGCCUUCUGGGCCGUUUCUGACGCUCAGACGCGAAAGCUAGGGGAGCAA